rnacentral:rRNA from 1 species
UACGGAGGAUCCGAGCGUUAUCCGGAUUUAUUGGGUUUAAAGGGUGCGCAGGCGGAAGAUUAAGUCGGUGGUGAAAUUUUGCAGCUCAACUGUAAAAGUGCCAUUGAUACUGGUUUUCUUGAGUGUGGAUGAAGUAGGCGGAAUUCGUUGUGUAGCGGUGAAAUGCUUAGAUAUGACGAGGAACUCCUAUUGCGAAGGCAGCUUGCUGGGUCGUUACUGACGCUGAUGCUCGAAGGUGCGGGGAUCAAACAGGAUUAGAUACCCGGGGUA